rnacentral:misc_RNA from 1 species
AAAGUCGUAACAAGGUUUCCGUAGGUGAACCUGCGGAAGGAUCAUUACAGAAUAAACAUGAUGGGUUGUUGCUGGUUCAGUAAUCUGAACAAGUGCACGCUUAUCGUAUUUAUCUUUCCACCAUGUGCACCCCACGUAGGACUGAAGAAUUUUAAUUUGAUCAGAGCUUGCUUUGAUUAUUUGGAAUCUGCUGUGUAACCAUUCCAGCUUUUUCUGACUUCAGCUUCUAUGAUUUAUUUAAAUACACCAAUGUAUGUUAAUGAACGUUAUACUAGGCCCACAAAGCCUAUACAAUUAUUAUACAACUUUCAGCAACGGAUCUCUUGGCUCUC